CAGCAGCCACGGUAAUACGGAGGGUGCAAGCGUUACUCGGAAUCACUGGGCGUAAAGGACGCGUAGGCGGAUUAUCAAGUCUCUUGUGAAAUCUAACGGCUUAACCGUUAAACUGCUUGGGAAACUGAUAAUCUAGAGUAAGGGAGAGGCAGAUGGAAUUCUUGGUAUAGGGGUAAAAUCCGUAGAGAUCAAGAAGAAUACCCAUUGCGAAAGCGAUCUGCUGGAACUUAACUGACGCUAAUGCGUGAAAGCGUGGGGAGCAAACAGGAUUAGAUACCCCUGUAGUCCCUGUCUCUUAUAC
rnacentral:rRNA from 1 species